rnacentral:tRNA from 1 species
AGGGAGAUGGCUCAAUAGGUGAAGUGCUUGCCUUUCAAGCAUGAGGACCUGGGUUCAAUCCCCAGAAGCCCUC